rnacentral:rRNA from 1 species
UGCCAUUAGAACCUAAUUAAUGGUACAUCCUGCCCGGUGAUCUAUUAAACGGCCGCGGUACCCUGACCGUGCAAAGGUAGCAUAAUCAUUUGCCUAUUAAUUGUAGGCUAGUAUGAAAGGACACACGCGAGUAAACCUGUCUCUAUUAAGUAAGUAGAAAUUUAUCUUUGAGUGAAGAAGCUCAAAUAUAGUCGCAGGACAAGAAGACCCUAUAGAGCUUUACCUUAAUCUCUUCCUAAAAAAGAAGACAACGGUUCGGUUGGGGCAACCAGGGUACAAUAAACAACCCUAAAUUUUUAAGAUUUCCUAAUCACUAAAAAGAUCCUUAUUUAAGAUCAUCGAAUCAAGCUACCUUAGGGAUAACAGGCUAAUCCUCUUUAAGAGCCCGUAUUAACAAGAGGGUUUGGCACCUCGAUGUUGGCUUAGGGCUUCUUCAUGAUGCAGCAGUCAUGAAAAGUUGGUUUGUUCAACCAUUAAAACCCU